rnacentral:rRNA from 1 species
UACGUAGGGUGCAAGCGUUGUCCGGAAUUAUUGGGCGUAAAGAGCUCGUAGGCGGUUUGUCGCGUCUGCCGUGAAAGUCCGGGGCUCAACUCCGGAUCUGCGGUGGGUACGGGCAGACUAGAGUGAUGUAGGGGAGACUGGAAUUCCUGGUGUAGCGGUGAAAUGCGCAGAUAUCAGGAGGAACACCAAUGGCGAAGGCAGCUUGCUGGCAUGUAUCUGACGCUAAGGCACGAAAGCGUGGGGAGCGAACAGG